UUGAUUUUUGAAGGUUGAACCGAUAGAAUAAGUGUGCAAGCAUUAUACUAUGCCUAUUGGUGGCUAGAGAAAGAUAGAGUGUAUCCUGGAAGGUAGUCAUUCGGGCUAAGUUCUAUGAUAUGCAUGUAUUGUUAUUUUUUUUUCAGACCCUAGAGUGCAGUAAGUGUAGUUCAGUUAGAAUCUAGUAAAGGAUCUCCCAAACUCUAAAUGAUGACUUGAAGCUAAGGGGGAGAUGACAGAACGAAUGACCAAGUAAGGCUCUCAGAUUCUAGUAGUGAUGCAGUAUGAUUGAAAACAUUAGAAAGUGAGG
rnacentral:lncRNA from 1 species